UACGAGAGGCCCGAGCGUUAAUCGGAAUCACUGGGCUUAAAGGGUGCGUAGGCGGAGUCGUAAGUGUCCUGUGAAAUCCCCCGUCUCAAUCGGGGAACUGCGGGGCAUACUGCGAUUCUUGAGGCGGGUAGGGGUCGUUGGAACGCUAGGUGGAGCGGUGAAAUGCGUAGAUAUCUAGCGGAACGCCGAUGGUGAAAACAGACGACUGGGCCCGUCCUGACGCUGAGGCACGAAAGCGUGGGGAGCAAACAGG
rnacentral:rRNA from 1 species